AGACUUUAUAGCAUUGCAAACAUAUAUUAAAGCACUGCACAAAAAAAAUUCUAAUUAAUGAAAAUUCUGUGAUCCUUAUUCAUUACGUCAGGCAUGCAGAUGGCUGGUACACAGACAUGAACAUAGCUCAAAUCCUGUCUUCUAACCAUAACCAUAUAUGUAUAAAAGACUGAGUAAUAUGGGGUGGCCCUUCUCCCAAACCUAGCAUUCUAUAGUAUUUGAACGUAUCUGGUGGGCUGAAUUAUAAAUUACUCUCUCUUUAUUCUUUGCUUACAAAGGCUCAAAUACCAAACUGAUAUAUUUUUUAAGUGCCAGAAUGUUAUUGGCAAUCAAGGAAAGAAGAGCCAGAGAAUAACAACUACAACAGAUGAAGUGGUGAUGUCUAAAAAUUAUCUGAGAAACAUCUGUCAUUCUUACUGAAAACUGUGGAAAGAAAAUCCUUUGGAAGGCUGAGUUUCUUGGCAUCAUCAAGGAAUUUACAGACAGAAACACUCCAUCAUCUCAAAAGGCUUCAGCUAAGGAAAUCAGUCUAACGACUGAGUACCCAUGGCUCGAGGAAGACAAUGAUGCCUGGAGUAGGAUGCUGUUCAGCAGGAUCUCAUAAUCUCACCAAUGCUUCAGCCCCAAGGCAGCUCACAGCAGAGGUUUCUCCAGGAAGGAAGCUGGAGCAGGCAGGGAAAAGGAAGGAUGCUCAGGCUGGUUUGAGAGCAAAGAGAAGACUCUCUGGACACCCAGAUCUGACCAUAUUGCCCUAAUCUGCUCAAUUCUGGCCACACUCCCUACUUGCCUAUUAUAAGAUUUUUGUUCUCAGUUCUGUGCCUGGUACUUUCCCUCACUAGUAACUGUGGAAUAAAGGCUAUAAGCACCUGGA